GGUUAAGUGACUAAGCGUACACGGUGGAUGCCUAGGCAGUCAGAGGCGAUGAAGGGCGUGCUAAUCUGCGAAAAGCGUCGGUAAGGUGAUAUGAACCGUUAUAACCGGCGAUACCCGAAUGGGGAAACCCAGUGUGUUUCGACACACUAUCAUGUCAUGAAUACAUAGUGGCAUGAGGCGAACCGGGGGAACUGAAACAUCUAAGUACCCCGAGGAAAAGAAAUCAACCGAGAUUCCCCCAGUAGCGGCGAGCGAACGGGGAGGAGCCCAGAACCUGAAUCGGCUUGUGUGUUAGUGGAAGCGUCUGGAAAGUCGCGCAGCAAAGGGUGAUAGCCCCGUACACUAAAAUGCACAGGUCGUGAGUUCGAUGAGUAGGGCGGGACACGUGACAUCCUGUCUGAAUAUGGGGGGACCAUCCUCCAAGGCUAAAUACUCCUGACUGACCGAUAGUGAACCAGUACCGUGAGGGAAAGGCGAAAAGAACCCCGGCGAGGGGAGUGAAAUAGAACCUGAAACCGUGUACGUACAAGCAGUGGGAGCACCUUCGUGGUGUGACUGCGUACCUUUUGUAUAAUGGGUCAGCGACUUAUAUUUUGUAGCAAGGUUAACCGUAUAGGGGAGCCGUAGGGAAACCGAGUCUUAACUGGGCGAAUAGUUGCAAGGUAUAGACCCGAAACCCGGUGAUCUAGCCAUGGGCAGGUUGAAGGUUGGGUAACACUAACUGGAGGACCGAACCGACUAAUGUUGAAAAAUUAGCGGAUGACUUGUGGCUGGGGGUGAAAGGCCAAUCAAACCGGGAGAUAGCUGGUUCUCCCCGAAAGCUAUUUAGGUAGCGCCUCGUGAACUCAUCUUCGGGGGUAGAGCACUGUUUCGGCUAGGGGGCCAUCCCGGCUUACCAAACCGAUGCAAACUCCGAAUACCGAAGAAUGUUAUCACGGGAGACACACGGCGGGUGCUAACGUCCGUCGUGAAGAGGGAAACAACCCAGACCGCCAGCUAAGGUCCCAAAGUCAUGGUUAAGUGGGAAACGAUGUGGGAAGGCAUAGACAGCCAGGAUGUUGGCUUAGAAGCAGCCAUCAUUUAAAGAAAGCGUAAUAGCUCACUGGUCGAGUCGGCCUGCGCGGAAGAUGUAACGGGGCUAAACCAUGCACCGAAGCUGCGGCAGCGACGCUUAGGCGUUGUUGGGUAGGGGAGCGUUCUGUAAGCCGUUGAAGGUGGCCUGUGAGGGUUGCUGGAGGUAUCAGAAGUGCGAAUGCUGACAUAAGUAACGAUAAAGCGGGUGAAAAGCCCGCUCGCCGGAAGACCAAGGGUUCCUGUCCAACGUUAAUCGGGGCAGGGUGAGUCGACCCCUAAGGCGAGGCUGAAAAGCGUAGUCGAUGGGAAACAGGUUAAUAUUCCUGUACUUGGUGUUACUGCGAAGGGGGGACGGAGAAGGCUAGGCUAGCCGGGCGACGGUUGUCCCGGUUUAAGCGUGUAGGGGGUGUGACCUGGUAAAUCCGGUUGCAUAUCAACCCUGAGGCGUGAUGACGAUGCACUACGGUGCAGAAGUAGUUGAUGCCCUGCUUCCAGGAAAAUCCUCUAAGCAUCAGGUAACAUUAAAUCGUACCCCAAACCGACACAGGUGGUCAGGUAGAGAAUACCAAGGCGCUUGAGAGAACUCGGGUGAAGGAACUAGGCAAAAUGGUGCCGUAACUUCGGGAGAAGGCACGCUGGCAUGUAGGUGAAGUCCCUCGCGGAUGGAGCUGAAGCCAGUCGAAGAUACCAGCUGGCUGCAACUGUUUAAUAAAAACACAGCACUGUGCAAACACGAAAGUGGACGUAUACGGUGUGACGCCUGCCCGGUGCUGGAAGGUUAAUUGAUGGGGUCAGCCGCAAGGCGAAGCUCUUGAUCGAAGCCCCAGUAAACGGCGGCCGUAACUAUAACGGUCCUAAGGUAGCGAAAUUCCUUGUCGGGUAAGUUCCGACCUGCACGAAUGGCGUAAUGAUGGCCAGGCUGUCUCCACCCGAGACUCAGUGAAAUUGAACUCGCUGUGAAGAUGCAGUGUACCCGCGGCAAGACGGAAAGACCCCGUGAACCUUUACUAUAGCUUGACACUGAACAUUGAGCCUUGAUGUGUAGGAUAGGUGGGAGGCUUUGAAGCGUGGACGCCAGUCUGCGUGGAGCCAUCCUUGAAAUACCACCCUUUAAUGUUUGAUGUUCUAACUCGGCCCCAUAAUCUGGGGUGAGGACAGUGUCUGGUGGGUAGUUUGACUGGGGCGGUCUCCUCCCAAAGAGUAACGGAGGAGCACGAAGGUUAGCUAAUCACGGUCGGACAUCGUGAGGUUAGUGCAAAGGCAUAAGCUAGCUUGACUGCGAGAGUGACGGCUCGAGCAGGUACGAAAGUAGGUCUUAGUGAUCCGGUGGUUCUGAAUGGAAGGGCCAUCGCUCAACGGAUAAAAGGUACUCCGGGGAUAACAGGCUGAUACCGCCCAAGAGUUCAUAUCGACGGCGGUGUUUGGCACCUCGAUGUCGGCUCAUCACAUCCUGGGGCUGAAGUAGGUCCCAAGGGUAUGGCUGUUCGCCAUUUAAAGUGGUACGCGAGCUGGGUUUAGAACGUCGUGAGACAGUUCGGUCCCUAUCUGCCGUGGGCGUUGGAAGAUUGAGAGGGGUUGCUCCUAGUACGAGAGGACCGGAGUGAACGCACCACUGGUGUUCGGGUUGUCAUGCCAAUGGCAUUGCCCGGUAGCUAAGUGCGGAAAAGAUAAGCGCUGAAAGCAUCUAAGCGCGAAACUUGCCUCAAGAUGAGUCUUCCCUGGGCCUUUAAGGCCCCUGAAGGAACGUUUAAGACUAAGACGUUGAUAGGCUGGGUGUGUAAGUGCAGCGAUGCAUUGAGCUAACCAGUACUAAUGAUCCGUGAGGCUUAACCUU
rnacentral:rRNA from 2 species